GCCGUGAGAGCGGGAGCCCGGAGAUGGGCACUGAGACAAGGGCCCAGGCCCUACGGGGCGCAGCAGUCGCGAAAACUUUGCAAUACACGAAAGUGUGACAGGGCUAUCCCGAGUGCCAUCCGCUGAGGAAGGCUUUUACCCAGUCUAGAACGCUGGGGGAAUAAGGAGAGGGCAAGUCUGGUGUCAGCCGCCGCGGUAAUACCAGCUCUCCGAGUGGUGUGGAUGUUUAUUGGGCCUAAAGCAUCCGUAGCUGGCUAAGUUAGUCCCCUGUUAAAUCCAACGAAUUAAUCGUUGGAUCGCGGGGGAUACUGCCUGGCUAGGGGACGAGAGAGGCAGACGGUAUUUCCGGGGUAGGGGUGAAAUCCUAUAAUCCCGGGAAGACCACCAGUGGCGAAGGCUGUCUGCUAGAACGCGCCCGACGGUGAGGGAUGAAAGCUGGGGGAGCGAACCGGAUUAGAUACCCGGGUAGUCCCAGCUGUAAACGAUGCAGGCUAGGUGUUUGGGCGGCCACGUGCCGUUCUAGUGCCGCAGGGAAGCUGUUAAGCCUGCCGCCUGGGGGGUACGAUCGCAAGAUUGAAACU
rnacentral:rRNA from 1 species